rnacentral:rRNA from 1 species
UAUGGGCCCGCGGCUGAUUAGCUAGUUGGUGAGGUAAUGGCUCACCAAGGCGACGAUCAGUAGCCGGCCUGAGAGGGUGAACGGUCACACUGGAACUGAGACACGGUCCAGACUCCUACGGGAGGCAGCAGUGGGGAAUCUUCCGCAAUGGGCGAAAGCCUGACGGAGCAACGCCGCGUGAGCGAAGAAGGUCUUCGGAUUGUAAAGCUCUGUGAUAUUGGACGAAUGUUCUUCCUAUAAAUAAUGGGGGUAAAUGACGGUACCUUAGGAGGAAGCCCCGGCUAACUACGUGCCAGCAGCCGCGGUAAUACGUAGGGGGCAAACGUUAUCCGGAAUCACUGGGCGUAAAGGGCGCGUAGGCGGCCUCUUAAGUCUGAUGUGAAAGCCCCCGGCUCAACCGGGGAGGGCCAUUGGAAACUGGGAGGCUUGAGUAUAGGAGAGGAAAGUGGAAUUCCCAGUGUAGCGGUGAAAUGCGUAGAUAUCGGGAGGAACACCAGUGGCGAAGGCGGCUAAUUGGCCUAUAACUGACACUGAGGCACGAAAGCGUGGGGAUCAAACAGGAUUAGAUACCCUGGUAGUCCACGCUGUAAACGAUGAGUGCUAGGUGUUGGGCGUCAAAACUCGGUGCCUGCCGAAGUCAAAACGUUAAGCAAUCCACCUGGGAAGUACGGACGCAAGGCUGAAACUCAAAGGAAUUGACGGGGGCCCGCACAAGCAGCGGAGUAUGUGGUUUAAUUCGAUGCAACGCGAAGAACCUUACCAGCGUUCGACAUCCCUCUCAAUGGGCCGGAACGGGACCUUCCCUUCGGGCACGUAGAGACAGGUGGUGCAUGGUUGUCGUCAGCUCGUGUCGUGAGAUGUUGGGUUAAGUCCCGCAACGAGCGCAACCCUUAUUGCCAGUUACCAGCACACAAAUGGGAACUCUGGCAGAACUGCCGUUGACAAAACGGAGGAAGGUGGGGAUGACGUCAAAUCAUCAUGCCCCUUAUGUCUUGGGCUACACACGUACUACAAUGGCCUGAACAGAGGGAAGCAAAACUGCGAAGUUAAGCGAAUCUCUUAAAACAGGUCCCAGUUCGGAUUGUAGGCUGCAACUCGCCUACAUGAAGUUGGAAUCGCUAGUAAUCGCAGGUCAGCAUACUGCGGUGAAUACGUUCCCGGGCCUUGUACACACCGCCCGUCACAUCACGAAAGUCGGCAACACCCGAAGCCGGUGACUCAACCCGAAAGGGAGAGAGCCGUCGAAGGUGGGGUUGAUAAUUGGGGUGAAGUCGUAACAAGGUAACC